UUUGAUGAGAACUCCAUGGUAGCUUCGUUGAAAGCUACAGUGCCCGAUGGUAAUGAUGUUGAGACUACAAUGUCUCAAGUUGUUGACAUAGAACCUAGAGACCAACCUGAUUCUAGAUAUGUUCAAGAGGAGCAUCAUACAAACACUCAAGAUGAGAGUGAUGAUGCACUUGAACAAGAGGCGGUUCAGCAAGAGAAUGUACAGGCACAGCAACAACAACGGCUUGCAGAUAACUUGGCUUCCUCUAGGCCACGCCGUACUUACAAGCAAGUUCUAAAGUUGGGGUCAGACGAGCCUUUGAGGCACUAUGGGCAGACAAAUUUGGUUGAGUAUGCACUCUCGGUGGAGGAUGAUGAGCCUACCACUUUCAAGGAAGCUAUUUUAAACAACAAUAGCGAGAGUUGGUUGGUGGCAAUGAAAGAAGAGAUGGAAUCACUUCACAAGAACCAAACAUAGGAGGUUGUCCCAUUGCCCAUAGGUAAGAAAGCUAUUAGUUGCAAGUGGUUGUAUAAAAAAAAGGAGGAUCCUACCAAGCUCGGUGGUACAAGAUUCAAAACGAGGUUGGUGGCUAAGGGGUUUGCACUAAGAGAG
rnacentral:lncRNA from 1 species